UACGUAGGGGGCGAGCGUUAUCCGGAUUCAUUGGGCGUAAAGCGCGCGUAGGCGGCCGCCUAAGCGGAACCUCUAACCCCGGGGCUCAACCUCGGGCCGGGUUCCGGACUGGGCGGCUCGAGUGCGGUAGAGGAGAGCGGAAUUCCCGGUGUAGCGGUGGAAUGCGCAGAUAUCGGGAAGAACACAGAUGGCGAAGGCAGCUCUCUGGGCCGUCACUGACGCUGAGGCGCGAAAGCUGGGGGAGCGAACAGG
rnacentral:rRNA from 1 species